AAAGUUUGAUCCUGGCUCARGGGGCAUGCUGGCGGCGUGCUUAACACAUGCAAGUCGAACGAUGAUCCGGUGCUUGCACCGGGGAUUAGUGGCGAACGGGUGAGUAACACGUGAGWAACCUGCCCUUAACUCUGGGAUAAGCCUGGGAAACUGGGUCUAAUACCGGAUAUGACUCCUCAUCGCAUGGUGGGGGGUGGAAAGCUUUUUGUGGUUUUGGAUGGACUCGCGGCCUAUCAGCUUGUUGGUGAGGUAAUGGCUCACCAAGGCGACGACGGGKAGCCGGCCUGAKAGGGUGACCGGCCACACUGGGACUGAGACACGGCCCAGACUCCUACGGGAGGCASCMGUGGGGAAUAUUGCACAAUGGGCGCAAGCCUGAUGCAGCKACKCCRCGUGAGGGAUGACGGCCUUCGGGUUGUAAACCUCUUUCAGUAGGGAAGAAGCGAAAGUGACGGUACCUGCARAAGAAGCGCCGGCUAACUACGUGCCAGCWGCCGCGGUAAUACGUAGGGCGCAAGCGUUAUCYGGAAUUAUUGGGCGUAAAGAGCUCGUAGGCGGUUUGUCGCGUCUGYCGUGAAAGUCCGGGGCUCAACUCCGGAUCUGCGGUGGGUACGGGYAGACUAGAGUGAUGUASGGRAGACUGGAAUUCCUGGYGUAGCGGKGAAAUGCGCAGAUAUCA
rnacentral:rRNA from 1 species